GAUCAUGUUCCAGCUGAUAAAUGCUUUGCUCACAGGCUUCUGGCCAGAAGUCAUCGAAUCGCUCACUCAACCAAACCACAGGAGGCUGGGGAAUACGUGAGACCAAGCACAUGGCUAUGUGAUAACUAGGGAAUAUCUCAGCCACAGUAAUCUUUCUUCGGUUUUUUUUUCAGUUUUCUUACAUUAUUGUUUGCUAAGGAAUUUUUCAAGGACUGUGAAGUUCUUGACUCAUCCUCAUAAAGAUGUCAAUGAUAUGAUAUUCUGGGGGUCCGGGGGAACUACUAUUCCAAGGGUUUACUGGGUGAACAAAAGGGUUUCACCUUUCACCAAUCAAAGAGGAACAUGAAACUCUCAGCCAGCCCUCCCUGUGGAUGAACUCGGCUAAAUGGUGAUGCAAAGAUGAUUCGUGGCUUUUCAGCCAUGUGAAAUAUACCCGAAUACUGAAAACUGACAGCAUGUGACAAUUUAUUUCGUCGGCUUGUAAUGAUCUCCAUUUCAGUUGCAUAUCUUAAAAUCACAAGCUCCAGUUUUUUUGUUUGUUUGUUUUUUGUUUUUGUUUCUUUGUUUGUUUUGAGAUGGAGUUUUGCUCUUGUCAUCCAGGCUGGAGGGCAUUGGUGUGAUCUUGGCUCACUGCAACCUCUGCCUCCUGAGUUCAAACAAUUCUCCUGCCUCAACCUUCCAAGCAGCUGGGAUUACAGUCAUUCGCCACAACGCCCAGCUAAUUUUCGUAUUUUUAGUAGAGAUGGGGUUUCACCAUGUUGGCCAGGCUGGCCUCAAACUCCUAACCUCAGCUGAUCCACCCACCUCGGCCUUCCAAAGUGCUGGGAUUACAGACAUGAGCCACACUGCCUGGCCACAAGCUCCAGUUUUACGGAGAUCUUCUAUUAUUGGAAAUGUGAACCUUUUCUAAACUUUCUUCUGAUUUCUGCAGUAAGUUAUUUUCAAUAAUAUGAUUUACUUGAGUCUCAAAAAUUAUGUGCUGUUUCAUUUAUGGCAUGUGAGGUCCCAUUUUCCCAUUUUAUUUUUGAAUUAUAAACGGCAACAUCAGUUAUCAUGUGAAAACCAGCAGAUGUAUUGAAGAUUAAAUUUGGUUAUAUACUUUGUCUAGUUGUGCAGUCAACAAAUCCUCUUUUCAGACCUACUGCUAGGCAGGGAAAUUUAUUUCAACUUCCAGUUACUAAUGAGAUUAUACAAAUUAUCUUUCUUCUAUAGGAGAAGUAGCAUCUUCCUUUCAGUCCAUAUUAUAGAUUCUCUAUUAUUCCUGUGUGGUGGAUGCAAAACCACUUGGAUGGAAUAGUGCUAGAGAUUGCCUCUUUCUCCAUUCCUACUUCAGGAAUUUUAUUGGUUUUAAAUUGCAUAUCCCAUAAUAAGCCAUUAAUUUAUUUAUCUAGUUCUACUUCCUUAUUUUUAGAAACAAAAAAAUUAAAUUGAUCAAAAAUAUAACAUGAUAUAUACUUGCAGAAUAUUUGAUGAAAAGGUCAUAUUGAUAGAGUGCUGGAGAUUUUGUUGGUUGUCAUAGUAUUUCUAGAAGGAUGUUGGGCAGAACGUAACAAAAGUGAUACAAAAUAUUGGAAGCUAUUUGAACUGAUAAAAUUACACUUAUUGCUACAAAGGAAUGAUUAGAGAUAUUCAGAAAGCUUUAAACUAUGCAUAUAUUUAGUAUUAUAUAUAUCAGUAAGAUUUUAGAUUGAAUUUAAAUAUUUAAAAC
rnacentral:lncRNA from 10 species